UUGUAAUCUUCGCUUUUAAGAGUAUUACGUUAGUCUUUCCUGCCCCCCUCCCCAUUCUUCUCCUUGUUUUCAAGAAUGCCAAGAGAGUUGAAGUUCCCUUUUACACACUUUUUCUGGGUUUGUUUGUUGUAUUAUCUUCUUGAAGGAUGGGUAAGAAACCUCUCUACUGUUUUGUAUGAACAUGUCCCACUGCUUUAUGGCUUUGGUCUAGGGAUAAGUGUGCAACAACUGCUGUGUUAGAGACGCGCGUCACAAGUUUGAAUUAUGGCUUUUGUCUAGGGGUAGGUGUGCAACCAUUGAUGUGUCAGGUGUAUGUCACGAGUUCGAAUUAUGGCUUUGGUCUGGAGAUAAGAGUGCAACAAUGACUCUGUCGGGUGCGUGCCACAGGGUCGAAUUAUCCCUUUGGUCUAAGAAUAAGAGUGCAACAGUUGAUGUGUUAGAUGAAUGUACUGGUCCAAAUUAUGAUGCUGACUAGUAAAAGCUUGGUGUUUGAGCAUUGGAGAUUCUUGAUUAUAGAAGGCAAAAUCUAUCGACAAACACCGAAAGUUGAUACAAUUUUUACUCAAUUAUGAUUAAUUAUUAUGUAUUUUUAUUUCAUUAUUGUCUCAUUAACAUCCAAAUGAAGCUUCUUUGUCAUAGUUACUCUGAUGGAUGACCUCUAUUAGCAUUAUGUUAUCAACAACAAACCUAGUGUAUUCCCACAGCGUGGGGUCUGGGGAGGAUAAGAUGUACGCAGUCCAUACCGCUACCUCCGAAGAAGUAGAGAGGAUGUUUCCGAUAGACCCUCGGCUCAAGAUAAAGUAGUUAGCAUUAUGUUAUCACAACUACUUAUCUAAGUUCCUUCACUGGGUGUUUUCUAUUAUCUUUAGGAGUCCUAGUAUUUCUACUUUUCUCCUUCAAUUAAAUUUGUUUACUUUGUCCAUUAAGGGAUUCUUCCUAAAUGAUGAGUAAUUCAAGUGAGCCAUGGAUUAACAUCCAAAUGAAGCUUCUUUGUCAUAGUUACUCUGAUGGAUGACCUCUAUUAGCUCUAUUAGCAUUAUGUUAUCAACAACAAACCUAGUGUAUUCCCACAGCGUGGGGUCUGGGGAGGAUAAGAUGUACGCAGUCCAUACCGCUACCUCCGAAGAAGUAGAGAGGAUGUUUCCGAUAGACCCUCGACUCAAGAUAAAGUAGUUAGCAUUAUGUUAUCACAACUACUUAUCUAAGUUCCUUCACUGGGUGUUUUCUAUGCUUCAUUUAGUCAGGUACUUGUUUCUAUUAUCUUUUAGGGGUUCUCUUUCAUUGAUGAAUGAUCUAUACAAGAACUCGUACUUCUUGAUUUAUAUGAUAUGUAUGAUCUUUAGGAGUCCUAGUACUUCUACUUUUCUCCUUCAAUUAAAUUUGUUUACUUUUUCCGUGAAGGGAUUCAUCCUAAAUGAUGAGUAAUUCAAGUGAGCCAUGGAUUAACAUCCAAAUGAUUCUUUUUUUCAUAGUUACUCUGAUGGAUUACCUCUAUUAGCACCAAGUUGUCAUAACUACUUAUCUUAUGAAGUUUCUCUAUAUGUUUUUUAUGCUUCAUUUUGUUAAGUUCUUGUUUCUGCUAUGUAUUAUCGAAGGGCUCUCUUUCGUUGGUGAAUGAUCUAUACAAGAAGUCAUACUUCUUGUUUUAUUGUAUGUAUUAUCUUGAGUCUUCAUACUUCUUGCUAUUCUCCGUCAUUGAAUUUAUUUACCCUGUGCAUGAAGGAAUUCAUUCUAAAUGAUGAGUAAUACUAUUAAGCCAUGGAUUAAAUUCCAAUUGAAGCUUUUUGUCAUAGUUACUCUGAUAGAUGAGACCUAUUAGCCUAUGUUAUGCUUGCAACUAUGUAUUAUCCUAGAUGUUUUGCUUUACUGCUUGCUGCUGAUCCUUUGAUUUAAGGUACUAGCAUAUUCCUCCCAAAAUUUGCUAAUAUGCAUGGUUUUCUAGUUGAAAGGAUCAUAGUAUCGUUUUAGUAUGAGAACAGUUGCAUGUUAAAUUAAAAAGUAAAUGCAAACAAGGCAACUUUGCCGAGGGGUUCUGUAUUUGUUGAUCCCCUCUUUUUCCCUGUUGCCAAUAUUAUAAUUGGACAAGCUUGGAACAAUUUUAGUUGUUGAACUAAUAUAUGUUUCCCACCAGCUGGUUUCUAGCUUGGCUACAUUCUCCAUCUUCUCUUUUGAUUGGACAAUUUUUGUAAAUCUGCAUAUGUUUAGCUUAUAUUUCAAAAGUUCUUUUUUUGGUUGUCUCAGGCUCUCUUUCGUUGGUGAAUGAUCUAUAAAAGAAGUCAUACUUCUUGUUUUAUUGUAUGUAUUAUCUUGAGUCUUCAUACUUCUUGCUAUUCUCCGUCAUUGAAUUUAUUUACCCUGUGCAUGAAGGAAUUCAUUCUAAAUGAUGAGUAAUACUAUUAAGCCAUGGAUUAAAUUCCAAAUGAAGCUUUUUGUCAUAGUUACUCUGAUAGAUGAGACCUAUUAGCCUAUGUUAUGCUUGCAACUAUGUAUUAUCCUAGAUGUUUUGCUUUACUGCUUGUUGCUGAUCCUUUGAUUUAAGGCACUAGCAUAUUCCUCCCAAAAUUUGCUAAUAUGCAUGGUUUUCUAGUUGAAAGGAUCACAGUAUCGUUUUAGUAUGAGAACAGUUGCAUGUUAAAUUAAAAAGUAAAUGCAAACAAGGCAACUUUGCCGAGGGGUUCUGUAUUUGUUGAUCCCCUCUUUUUCCCUGUUGCCAAUAUUAUAAUUGGACAAGCUUGGAACAAUUUUAGUUGUUGAACUAAUAUAUGUUUCCCACCAGCUGGUUUCUAGCUUGGCUACAUUCUCCAUCUUCUCUUUUGAUUGGACAAUUUUUGUAAAUCUGCAUAUGUUUAGCUUAUAUUUCAAAAGUUCUUUUUUUGGUUGUCUCAACUUCCCGAUCAGUUGAUCACAUUUCUAUUGUAAUCCCUUUUUUCAAUAGUCUCUAUGAUUUCUUUUGUAAUCUUCACUUUUAAGAGUAUUACGUAAGUCUUUCCUGCUCCCCUCCCCAUUCUUCUCCUUGUUUUCAAGAAUGCCAAGAGAGUUGAAGUUCCCUUUUACACACUUUUUUUGGGUUUGUUUGUUGUAUUAUUUUCUUGAAGGAUGGGUAAGAAACCUCUCUACUGUUUUGUAUGAACAUGUCCCACUGCUUUAUGGCUUUGGUCUAGGGAUAAGUGUGCAACAACUGCUGUGUUAGAGACGCGCGUCACAAGUUUGAAUUAUGGCUUUUGUCUAGGGGUAGGUGUGCAACCAUUGAUGUGUCAGG
rnacentral:lncRNA from 1 species